rnacentral:rRNA from 1 species
UACGUAGGUGGCAAGCGUUGUCCGGAUUUACUGGGCGUAAAGAGCGCGCAGGCGGUCGUAUAAGUCGAAUGUGAAAAGCCCCCGGCUCAACUGGGGGAGGGUCAUUCGAUACUGUUCGACUCGAAGGCAGGAGAGGGAAGUGGAAUUCCGGGUGUAGUGGUGAAAUGCGUUAGAUAUCCGGAGGAACACCGGUGGCGAAG